rnacentral:rRNA from 1 species
GAUGAACGCUGGCGGCGUGCCUAAUACAUGCAAGUCGAGCGAACAGAUGAGGAGCUUGCUCCUCUGACGUUAGCGGCGGACGGGUGAGUAACACGUGUAUAACCUACCUAUAAGACUGGGAUAACUUCGGGAAACCGGAGCUAAUCCCGGAUAAUAUCUUGAACCGCAUGGUUCAAUAGUGAAAGUCGGUUUUGCUGUAAGUUAUAGAUGGAUCCGCGCCGUAUUAGCUGGUUGGUCAGGUAACGGGUUAUCAAGGCGACGAUGCGUAGCCGACGUGAGAGGGUGAUCGCCCACACUGGAACUGGGACACGGACCAGACUCCUGCGGGAGGCAGCAGUAGGGAAUCUUCCGCAAUGGGCGAAAGCUUGACGGAGCAACGCCGAGUGAGUGAUGAAGGUCUUCGGAUCGUAAAACUCUGUUAUUAGGGAAAAACAAAUGUGUAAGUAACUAUGCACGUCUUGACGGUACCUAAUCAGAAAGCCACGGCUAACUACGUG